rnacentral:rRNA from 1 species
CCUACGGGAGGCAGCAGUGGGGGAUAUUGCACAAUGGGGGGAACCCUGAUGCAGCGACGCCGCGUGGGUGAAGGAGUAUUUCGGUAUGUAAAGCCCUAUCGGCAGGGAAGAAAUUGGACGGUACCUGACUAAGAAGCCCCGGCUAACUACGUGCCAGCAGCCGCGGUAAUACGUAGGGGGCAAGCGUUAUCCGGAUUCACUGGGUGUAAAGGGAGCGUAGACGGCCAGGCAAGCCUGGAGUGAAAGCCCGGGGCCCAACCCCGGGACUGCUCUGGGAACUGUCCGGCUGGAGGGCGGGGGGGGCAGGCGGAAUUCCUGGUGUAGCGGUGAAAGGCGUAGAUAUCAGGAGGAACACCGGCGGCGAAGGCGGCCUGCUGGACCGCGACUGACGUUGAGGCUCGAAAGCGUGGGGAGCGAACAGGAUUAGAUACCUGUGUAGUC